GACGAACGCUGGCGGCGUGCUUAACACAUGCAAGUCGAACGGAAAGGCCCUGCUUUUGUGGGGUGCUCGAGUGGCGAACGGGUGAGUAACACGUGAGUAACCUGCCCUUGACUUUGGGAUAACUUCAGGAAACUGGGGCUAAUACCGGAUAGGAUCUCCUGCUGCAUGGUGGGGGUUGGAAAGUUUCGGCGGUCGGGGAUGGACUCGCGGCUUAUCAGCUUGUUGGUGGGGUAGGGGCUUACCAAGGCUUUGACGGGUAGCCGGCCUGAGAGGGUGACCGGCCACAUUGGGACUGAGAUACGGCCCAGACUCCUACGGGAGGCAGCAGUGGGGAAUAUUGCACAAUGGGCCGAAGCCUGAUGCAGCAACGCCGCGUGCGGGAUGACGGCCUUCGGGUUGUAAACCGCUUUCGCCUGUGACGAAGCGUGAGUGACGGUAAUGGGUAAAGAAGCACCGGCUAACUACGUG
rnacentral:rRNA from 1 species